AACGAACGCUGGCGGCAUGCCUAACACAUGCAAGUCGAACGAACCCUUCGGGGUGAGUGGCGCACGGGUGCGUAACGCGUGGGAACCUGCCCUUAGGUUCGGAAUAACAGUGAGAAAUCGCUGCUAAUACAGGAUAAUGUCUUCGGACCAAAGAUUUAUCGCCUUUGGAUGGGCCCGCGUUGGAUUAGCUAGUUGGUGAGGUAAAGGCUCACCAAGGCGACGAUCCAUAGCUGGUCUUAGAGGAUGAUCAGCCACACUGGGACUGAGACACGGCCCAGACUCCUACGGGAGGCAGCAGUGGGGAAUAUUGGACAAUGGGCGAAAGCCUGAUCCAGCAAUGCCGCGUGAGUGAUGAAGGCCUUAGGGUUGUAAAGCUCUUUUACCAGGGAUGAUAAUGACAGUACCUGGAGAAUAAGCUCCGGCUAACUCCGUG
rnacentral:rRNA from 1 species